rnacentral:rRNA from 1 species
CCUACGGGUGGCAGCAGUGAGGAAUAUUGGUCAAUGGGCGGGAGCCUGAACCAGCCAAGUAGCGUGAAGGAAGAAGGUACUGAGGAUUGUAAACUUCUUUUGUCGGGGAACAAAGGCGGAGACGCGUCCCCGGAUGAGUGUACCCGAUGAAAAAGCAUCGGCUAACUCCGUGCCAGCAGCCGCGGUAAUACGGAGGAUGCGAGCGUUAUCCGGAUUUAUUGGGUUUAAAGGGUGCGCAGGCGGGAGAUUAAGUCAGCGGUAAAAUGUUGGGGCCCAACCCCGGCCGGCCGUUGAUACGGGGUGUCUAGAGUUGGAUAGAGGUAUGCGGAAUUCGUGGUGUAGCGGUGAAAUGCAUAGAUAUCACGAAGAACUCCGAUUGCGAAGGCAGCAUACCGGCUCCAUACUGACGCUGAGGCACGAAAGCGUGGGGAUCGAACAGGAUUAGAUACCCUUGUAGUC